UCCGAGUUGACCCCGGCAGUCUCCCAUGAGUCCCCACCAUUACGUGCUGGCAACAUGGAACAAGGGUUGCGCUCGUUGCGGGACUUAACCCAACAUCUCACGACACGAGCUGACGACAACCAUGCACCACCUGUGAAUGACCCUUGCGGACCUCACAUCUCUGUGAGAUUUCCAUUCAUGUCAAGCCUUGGUAAGGUUCUUCGCGUCGCAUCGAAUUAAGCCACAUGCUCCGCCGCUUGUGCGGGCCCCCGUCAAUUCCUUUGAGUUUCAGCCUUGCGGCCGUACUCCCCAGGCGGGGCACUUAUCGCGUUAGCUGCGGCACCGAAGGGGUCGCUCCCCCCGGCACCUAGUGUCCACCGUUUACGGCUAGGACUAC
rnacentral:misc_RNA from 1 species